GAACAGACCAGAGAGCAAACGAAACCGGCGACGUGGAAUUUUGAAGGAACUGCUAAACAUUUUGAGUGGUGGAGGAUUUGAUUCAUCUUCACAACAGCAUCAAAAGCAACAUCACCAGCAGCAGCAACAGCAGUUGUUUAGACAGUUAGUCUGAAUUUAGAUAGACUGCUAGCAAAGAUGUUGGGAUGCAAUGGGAACUUGUAAGAGUUUACACAAAGCCACAAGGACAACAACCAGAAUUCAGUGACCCUGUUGUUCUCUCCACUGUAAGUUGCAUGCUCUGUCUCUCUCUCUUUCUCUCAAGCAAGUGAAUUGACCACCUCGUCUGGGGAAUUUAACGCAUUACAAUGGUAUCCUCCUCAGGAUAUAGAGGUGGUUGCGCAGUAGGAACCUUUAGAUAUCAAACGAUCGUGAAAACACAUGAAACUAGAAAGAACAAAAAUGUCGUUGAAGUGUUCACAUAACUACCAAACUGUCUUUAUUGCUGUGUUACCAGGACACUCCAAAAAACACUAGGACACAGCUCAAUUACCAAGACAAGAAUAAAAUAUUUAAUAAAAUUAAGAAAUA